AAAAAAAUGAAUCUUUUUAGCUCAAAACAACAACUUAACAAAAGAAAAAUGAAAUUUAUGAACCAAAAACAAGAACCCCACAGAAAGAAAUGAAUCUUUCUAGCUCAAAACAACAACUUAACCUAAAAAAAAAUGAUAUUUUUAACAGAAAACGAGAACCCCACUGAAAAAAAUUGAAUCUUUUUAGCUCAAAAACAACACCUUAGCAUAAAAAAAUGAAAUCUUUAGACAGAAAUCGAG
rnacentral:misc_RNA from 1 species